ACUCCUACGGGAGGCAGCAGUGGGGAAUAUUGCACAAUGGGCGCAAGCCUGAUGCAGCCAUGCCGCGUGUAUGAAGAAGGCCUUCGGGUUGUAAAGUACUUUCAGCAGUGAGGAAGGCGGGUACGUUAAUAGCGUGCUCGUUUGACGUUAGCUGCAGAAGAAGCACCGGCUAACUCCGUGCAGCAGCGCGCUAUGCAGUANNCGGGG
rnacentral:rRNA from 1 species